ensembl:lncRNA
GCGAGAGGGAGCAGCAGAGUGAAGGCGGGGUGGUGAGGAGGAGGCGGUGGAUGGAGGGGAAAGCAGGACGGAUAGUUUGAGGCUUAUGAGAAGAAAGACACGGCGAGGGAGGUGGAGAGAUCAAAGGGGAAGAAAAGACAGAAAGAGCUCCACCAUCUGUUACCCAGGUGAGGCAAAAAGACUCUCCUCCACACGUCUGCAUCCUGUCCAGCUGCUCUCUUUAGGGGUCACCACAGUGGACCAUCUGCCUCCAUUUGACCUCGUCUCCUUGUCCUCCUCUGCCACGCCAAUGCUCUGCCUGUCCUCCUUCACUACAUCCAUCAAUCUUCUCUGUGGUCAUCCUCCUUCGUUUUCCUCCUGCCUGGGAGC